GCUCAAUCCACAAGGCAGCCUCGGUAGUUCCGACCAGGCACCAGAAGCCUGGAAGUUUCCUGGAGAGUCACUGCUCCCUACUGCCCAAAGGAAGCUUGGAAAUGGUGAUUCUCUUAUCAGAAGAGGGAUCCACAGGGCUACAGGCAAAUCAACUCUGCUGCGACAGGGAAGGCCAGUCCCAUGAAGGGGAAGCUCAUUUAGCUCAUGAAGAAAACAUCUGGAAGGCUUCAGGAAGUCCCUAAACCUGACAAGACAUAAUAUCAGGCCCCCACCGCAGCUUAUACAAGCCAUGAGGACUGCUAAGAGACUCUAAGAGGAACUGAGCUGUGUGGAUGAGACACUCUCCAACCUGUUGAGCUGCCUGCAGGCUGUGCAGUACACUCCUGGCUUCCAGCUUUUUUGAGCAAUCAUCCAUGCUGAGGUGGCUUUGGGUGACUCAGCUGUCUUUGAGUCAUUUCUGCUCUUGAGGUAUCCCAAUAAAACUCAUUGGCUUACCAAGUU